AGAGUUUGAUCCUGGCUCAGGAUGAACGCUGGCGGCGUGCCUAAUACAUGCAAGUCGAGCGAACGGACGAGAAGCUUGCUUCUCUGAUGUUAGCGGCGGACGGGUGAGUAACACGUGGAUAACCUACCUAUAAGACUGGGAUAACUUCGGGAAACCGGAGCUAAUACCGGAUAAUAUUUUGAACCGCAUGGUUCAAAAGUGAAAGACGGUCUUGCUGUCACUUAUAGAUGGAUCCGCGCUGCAUUAGCUAGUUGGUAAGGUAACGGCUUACCAAGGCAACGAUGCAUAGCCGACCUGAGAGGGUGAUCGGCCACACUGGAACUGAGACACGGUCCAGACUCCUACGGGAGGCAGCAGUAGGGAAUCUUCCGCAAUGGGCGAAAGCCUGACGGAGCAACGCCGCGUGAGUGAUGAAGGUCUUCGGAUCGUAAAACUCUGUUAUUAGGGAAGAACAUAUGUGUAAGUAACUGUGCACAUCUUGACGGUACCUAAUCAGAAAGCCACGGCUAACUACGUGCCAGCAGCCGCGGUAAUACGUAGGUGGCAAGCGUUAUCCGGAAUUAUUGGGCGUAAAGCGCGCGUAGGCGGUUUUUUAAGUCUGAUGUGAAAGCCCACGGCUCAACCGUGGAGGGUCAUUGGAAACUGGAAAACUUGAGUGCAGAAGAGGAAAGUGGAAUUCCAUGUGUAGCGGUGAAAUGCGCAGAGAUAUGGAGGAACACCAGUGGCGAAGGCGACUUUCUGGUCUGUAACUGACGCUGAUGUGCGAAAGCGUGGGGAUCAAACAGGAUUAGAUACCCUGGUAGUCCACGCCGUAAACGAUGAGUGCUAAGUGUUAGGGGGUUUCCGCCCCUUAGUGCUGCAGCUAACGCAUUAAGCACUCCGCCUGGGGAGUACGACCGCAAGGUUGAAACUCAAAGGAAUUGACGGGGACCCGCACAAGCGGUGGAGCAUGUGGUUUAAUUCGAAGCAACGCGAAGAACCUUACCAAAUCUUGACAUCCUUUGACAACUCUAGAGAUA
rnacentral:rRNA from 2 species